CUUGGGCUGGAAAAUGCAAUAAAAGUGCAGGCGACCAUCGUUUUGUGACCGUCGUUAUACCAGCUGUCUACAAGUAACGCUGUCGUCCGCUUGCAUCAUCAUGAAGGUGUUCUGUGCUAUCGCUCUCUGCGUCCUAUUUUGCCUGGCUCUCUGCGAAGCAAACAAGAAAACCACGAAGAGCGAUAAACCCACGGACCUGAAAAACGACGAGUCCUUCGGAGGACGCAUUCUAGGAGGCGGCAUCGACGUCGGACAGGACGGUGGCUAUGCAGGCAUCGGUCACCCAGUCGGAGCCGGUAGAGAUUUCGGCCACGAGACAGAUGGAGUGAAAGAACACCACAAAACCACCUAAGCGCCUAAGGGCUUCUACUUGGGGACAACGGGAAUGACAGUAUAAACAGAGUACCUGCUGGAAAGGAGUUUCGUUUAUUGAAGAACACCUUCAUGUAGUCAAUAUGUCAAUAAAAUGUAGGACUUCUUAUGUUGCUAUGCAAA